UAGGGAAUCUUCCGCAAUGGACGCAAGUCUGACGGAGCAACGCCGCGUGAGUGAAGAAGGUUUUCGGAUUGUAAAACUCUGUUGUUAGAGAAGAACAAGUGCUAGAGUAACUGUUAGCGCCUUGACGGUAUCUAACCAGAAAGCCACGGCUAACUACGUGCCAGCAGCCGCGGUAAUACGUAGGUGGCAAGCGUUGUCCGGAUUUAUUGGGCGUAAAGCGAGCGCAGGCGGUUCCUUAAGUCUGAUGUGAAAGCCCCCGGCUCAACCGGGGAGGGUCAUUGGAAACUGGGGAACUUGAGUGCAGAAGAGGAGAGUGGAAUUCCAUGUGUAGCGGUGAAAUGCGUAGAUAUAUGGAGGAACACCAGUGGCGAAGGCGACUCUCUGGUCUGUAACUGACGCUGAGGCUCGAAAGCGUGGGUAGCAAACAGG
rnacentral:rRNA from 1 species